rnacentral:lncRNA from 1 species
GUAUUAUUUGUGAAUUUGACACGGAAUAUUUAUCAACAAGAUAUUAGUAACUUCCGAUGAACUGUUUUAGAAAGAGGAUGAGACGUUCGUUGACAUAACCAUGGUUCAUCAACUUUUGCUCAUCCACUAGUGUCGUUUUAUGAAGUCUGAGUAGGAGCCAUAAGCUGUUGAAUACCGACUGAGUUGGUUAAUGUAUAUCUCAUAUGCAGGCGAGGUUUGUACAUAUCAACUAAGAUGGGAGAAAAUGAUAAUUUCAAUUAACAUCGGUUCAUCUGAGAUAACCACUUAUGUCAAAUUUGAGAUAUAAGUCUGAAAAUGAGACAGAGGAAGCCG